CCUACGGGGGGCUGCAGUGGGGAAUAUUGGACAAUGGGGGCAACCCUGAUCCAGCCAUGCCGCGGGUGUGAAGAAGGCCCUCGGGUUGUAAAGCACUUUCAGUGAGGAAGAACGCCUGGUGGUUAAUACCCAUCAGGAAAGACAUCACUCACAGAAGAAGCACCGGCUAACUCCGUGCCAGCAGCCGCGGUAAUACGGAGGGUGCGAGCGUUAAUCGGAAUUACUGGGCGUAAAGCGCGCGUAGGUGGCUUGAUAAGCCGGUUGUGAAAGCCCCGGGCUCAACCUGGGAACGGCAUCCGGAACUGUCAAGCUAGAGUGCAGGAGAGGAAGGUAGAAUUCCCGGUGUAGCGGUGAAAUGCGUAGAGAUCGGGAGGAAUACCAGUGGCGAAGGCGGCCUUCUGGACUGACACUGACACUGAGGUGCGAAAGCGUGGGUAGCAAACAGGAUUAGAUACCCCAGUAGUC
rnacentral:rRNA from 1 species